rnacentral:rRNA from 1 species
GCAGGCUUGAGUCUUGUAGAGGGAGGUGGAAUUCCUGGUGUAGCGGUGAAAUGCGUAGAUAUCUGGAGGAACACCGGUGGCGAAGGCGGCUUCCUGGACCGUUACUGACGCUCAGGCGCGAAAGCGUGGGGAGCAAACAGGAUUAGAUACCCUGGUAGUCCACGCCGUAAACGAUGUCUACUUGGUGUUGGUGGUAUUGACUCCUUGCUUGCCGAAAUAAACUCUUUAAUCCACCCGCCGGGGAAUUACGCCCCCA